rnacentral:rRNA from 1 species
CCAGCAGCCGCGGUAAUACAGAGGUCUCAAGCGUUGUUCGGAUUCAUUGGGCGUAAAGGGUGCGUAGGUGGCGAGGUAAGUCGGAUGUGAAAUCCUGGAGCUCAACCCCAGAACUGCAUUCGAUACUGCUUUGCUCGAGUACUGGAGAGGAGAUUGGAAUUUAUGGUGUAGCAGUGAAAUGCGUAGAUAUCAUAAGGAAGACCAGUGGCGAAGGCGGAUCUCUGGACAGUUACUGACACUGAGGCACGAAGGCCAGGGGAGCAAACGGGAUUAGAUACCCCGGUAGUCCUGGCAGUAAACGGUGCACGUUUGGUGUGGGAGGAUUCGACCCCUUCUGCGCCGGAGCUAACGCGUUAAACGUGCCGCCUGGGGAGUACGGUCGCAAGAUUAAAACUCAAAGAAAUUGACGGGGGCCCGCACAAGCGGUGGAGUAUGUGGCUUAAUUCGAUGCAACGCGAAGAACCUUACCUGGCCUUGACAUGCAUCUCUAAGUUGGUGAAAGCCAGCGAGUGGAGCAAUCCACAAUUUGCACAGGUGCUGCAUGGCUGUCGUCAGCUCGUGUCGUGAGAUGUUGGGUUAAGUCCCGCAACGAGCGCAACCCCUGUGAACUGUUGCCACCGGACCGAGAGGUCCGAGCACUCUGUUCAGACUGCCCUGUGAAACGGGGAGGAAGGUGGGGAUGACGUCAAGUCAGCAUGGCCCUUACGGCCAGGGCUGCACACGUACUACAAUGCCCAGUACAGAAUGAUCCGAUACCGCGAGGUGGAGGAAAUCCCUAAAACUGGGCCCAAUUCGGAUUGGAGGCUGCAACUCGCCUCCAUGAAGCCGGAAUCGCUAGUAAUGGCGCAUCAGCUACGGCGCCGUGAAUACGUUCCCGGGCCUUGUACACACCGCCCGUCUCAUCAUGGAAGUUACUUGUACCCGAAGUAGGUGCGCCAACCCGUUCCCAAGAAUGGGGAGCAGCCUCCUAAGGUAUGAGUGGUAACUGGGAUGAAGUCGUAACAAGGUAACCAA